rnacentral:rRNA from 1 species
GAUGAACGCUAGCGGCAGGCUUAAUACAUGCAAGUCGAACGGCAAGGACUUUCGGGUCCCUAGAGUGGCGCACGGGUGAGUAACACGUACACAACAUACCCUAUAUUGGAGGAUAGCCUUGGGAAACUGGGGGUAAUAUUCCAUAGUAUUUAUUGGAGGCAUCUCUGAUAAAUUAAAGAGCAAUCGAUAUAGGAUUGGUGUGCGUCCCAUUAGCUAGUUGGUGAGGUAAAGGCUCACCAAGGCGACGAUCUGUAGCGGGUCUGAGAGGAUGAUCCGCCACACUGGAACUGAGACACGGUCCAGACUCCUACGGGAGGCAGCAGUGGGGAAUUUUGGACAAUGGGGGCAACCCUGAUCCAGCCAUGCCGCGUGAGUGAAGAAGGCCCUCGGGUUGUAAAGCUCUUUUGUCCGGAAAGAAAAGCGCCGGGUUAAUACCCUAGUGUCCUGACGGUACCGGAAGAAUAAGCACCGGCUAACUUCGUG